CCANNCUCCGCCGCGAGGCAGCAUUNAGGAAUCAUNGACAAUGGGUUAGCGCCUGAUCCAGCCAUCCCGCGUGAAGGACGACGGCCCUAUGGGUUGUAAACUNNUUUUGUACAGGGAUAAACCUUUCCACGUGUGGAAAGCUGAAGGUACUGUACGAAUAAGCACCGGCUAACUCCGUGCCAGCAGCCGCGGUAAUACGGAGGGUGCAAGCGUUAUCCGGAUUUAUUGGGUUUAAAGGGUCCGUAGGCGGAUCUGUAAGUCAGUGGUGAAAUCUCACAGCUUAACUGUGAAACUGCCAUUGAUACUGCAGGUCUUGAGUAAGGUAGAAGUGGCUGGAAUAAGUAGUGUAGCGGUGAAAUGCAUAGAUAUUACUUAGAACACCAAUUGCGAAGGCANNUNACUAUGUCUUAA
rnacentral:rRNA from 1 species